rnacentral:misc_RNA from 1 species
UCCUGGUUGCCCAGGCAGUCCCACCAGAGUGCUCCAUCACUGGAUAGCAACUGGCAGUAGGGGUUGCGCUCGUUAUAGGACUUAACCCAACAUCUCACGACACGAGCUGACGACAGCCAUGCAGCACCUGUGUAAAUGUCCAAGGUUUCCCCUGGAAGACCGUAUUUCUACGGCUGUCAUAGACAUGUCAAGCCUAGGUAAGGUUCCUCGCGUAGUGUCGAAUUAAACCACAUGUUCCACCGCUUGUGCGGACCCCCGUCAAUUUCUUUGAGUUUUAAUCUUGCGACCGUACUCCCCAGGCGGAUCACUUAACGCGUUAGCUUCGAUACUAAUCCCGCAAGCGGGACUAACAUCCAGUGAUCAUCGUUGACAGCGUGGACUAC